UACGUAGGGGGGCAAGCGUUGUCCGGAUUUAUUGGGCGUAAAGAGCGUGUAGGCGGUUAUACAGGUCCGCUGUGAAAACUGGAGGCUUAACCUCCAGACGUCGGUGGAAACCGUAUAACUAGAGUCCGGAAGAGGAGAGUGGAACUGCGAGUGUAGAGGUGAAAUUCGUAGAUAUUCGCAAGAACACCGGUGGCGAAGGCGGCAUCCUGGACCGGUAUUGACGCUGAGGCGCGAAAAGCUAGGGGGAGCAAACGGGG
rnacentral:rRNA from 1 species